rnacentral:tRNA from 1 species
UUUAAUUGAAACCAAAAAGAGGUAUAUCACUGUUAAUGAUAUAAAUGAACUAAAUUUCCAAUUAAA